AGCUCCAAUAGCGUAUAUUAAAGUUGCUGCAGUUAAAAAGCUCGUAGUUGCAUUUCCGAGGCAAGGGAUUAGUCCGACCUUUGGUGGGUAUUUAAUCCUCUUGCCUCGUCCUUGAGUGGUGCUUCUUGGUAUUAUGUUAUCGAGGAGAUAGCCGCUCAUCGUUUACUGUGAGAAAAUUAGAGUGUUCAAAGCAGGCUUAUGCCGUUGAAUAUAUUAGCAUGGAAUAAUAAGAUAGGACCUCGGUACUAUUUGGUUGGUUUGAGAACCAAGGUAAUGAUGAAUAGGGACAGUUGGGGGUAUUCGUAUUCAGUUGUCAGAGGUGAAAUUCUUAGAUUUACGGAAGACGAACUACUGCGAAAGCAUUUACCAAGGAUGUUUUCA
rnacentral:rRNA from 1 species